rnacentral:lncRNA from 1 species
CAGCCACAGACUGAGAGGCCAUGACUCAAUGUGGCCUUCAUCUUUCUGGGAUAGUGCAGCAGGGAAGGUUUUACAAGAAGUUCAGAAAAGAGAGAAUCUCUCCCUCUUUGCAAAUGCUGAGGACUUUGUGGAGUAGGUGGUAUUUUCACCUGAAGGGGGAUUUGGACAUGGAGAGCUAAAAGCUGGGGCCAGGAAUCCCAGUGGAGCCAACCCUUCAACAAGGGAGACGUCCUGCUCCCUUCCUUCUUCAGGCUUCUGCUGGGCUGGGUCGUGACUGCAGCUCAGAUGAAAAGCUGCUGCCCUGCUGCCUUGUAACUGGUAAGCCCAUCUCUAAUGAGGACUAAUUUUUUCAUCGGCAUGCCUGCCUUUGGUGCCAGCUUCAGAGCCAUUGAGUUUUAUGUAGAUCAGAGGUGGAUACAUGUUUAUGAUCACAGGGCCCACAGACAAGGUCCCCAGAGCCCAUGAGAAGAAACCACUGCCUAGCCUUAUUCACAUUUCGCCUGGGGCCCCAGAUGCUGAUUUUCUAGAACAUUCUACCAUGGGGCAACAGCGUUGGCUCAGAGGGAGCUGAGAUCCGGGGUCCCGUGCAGAGAAAUCACAUAUUUGUCCCAGUAGAACCAUUUGCUGGACAGCCAACGGCAGGUGUUGAGUGGGAGCCACAUCCUGAGCUUGAGUACAGAGGCCAGCCAGGCAGCCAGGUACCAACCACCAGCGGUUAUGGAGGUUAUAGUCUAAGGUGAAAGCAGACAACAAACCGCCACCAAAUCGUUAAGUAAGGUGUUCACAUGCUGUGAUGAUUACUCUGGGGAAACAAUCAGGGCUGUGAAU